rnacentral:rRNA from 1 species
GAUGAACGCUGGCGGCGUGCCUAAUACAUGCAAGUCGAGCGAACGGACGAGAAGCUUGCUUCUCUGAUGUUAGCGGCGGACGGGUGAGUAACACGUGGAUAACCUACCUAUAAGACUGGGAUAACUUCGGGAAACCGGAGCUAAUACCGGAUGAUAUUUUGAACCGCAUGGUUCAAAAGUGAAAGACGGUCUUGCUGUCACUUAUAGAUGGAUCCGCGCUGCAUUAGCUAGUUGGUAAGGUAACGGCUUACCAAGGCAACGAUGCAUAGCCGACCUGAGAGGGUGAUCGGCCACACUGGAACUUAGACACGGUCCAGACUCCUACGGGAGGCAGCAGUAGGGAAUCUUCCGCAAUGGGCGAAAGCCUGACGGAGCAACGCCGCGUGAGUGAUGAAGGUCUUCGGAUCGUAAAACCCUGUUAUUAGGGAAGAACAUAUGUGUAAGUAACUGUGCACAUCUUGACGGUACCUAAUCAGAAAGCCACGGCUAACUACGUG